UACGUAGGGUGCAAGCGUUUGUCCGGAAUUAUUGGGCGUAAAGAGCUCGUAGGCGGUCUGUCACGUCGGCUGUGAAAUCCCGAGGCUCAACCUCGGGUCUGCAGUCGAUACGGGCAAACUAGAGUAUUGCAGGGGAGACUGGAAUUCCUGGUGUAGCGGUGAAAUGCGCAGAUAUCAGGAGGAACACCGGUGGCGAAGGCGGGUCUCUGGGCAGUAACUGACGCUGAGGAACGAAAGCGUGGGUGCGAACAGG
rnacentral:rRNA from 1 species